rnacentral:rRNA from 1 species
AUUAAACGCUGGCGGCAUGCCUUACACAUGCAAGUCGAACGGCAGCACGGGGCAACCUGGUGGCGAGUGGCGAACGGGUGAGUAAAGCAUCGGAACGUGCCCUGGAGUGGGGGAUAACGUAGCGAAAGUUACGCUAAUACCGCAUAUUCUGUGAGCAGGAAAGCAGGGGAUCGCAAGACCUUGCGCUCUGGGAGCGGCCGAUGUCGGAUUAGCUAGUUGGUGGGGUAAAGGCCUACCAAGGCGACGAUCCGUAGCGGGUCUGAGAGGAUGAUCCGCCACACUGGAACUGAGACACGGUCCAGACUCCUACGGGAGGCAGCAGUGGGGAAUUUUGGACAAUGGGCGCAAGCCUGAUCCAGCCAUGCCGCGUGAGUGAAGAAGGCCU